rnacentral:rRNA from 1 species
UACGAAGGGGGCUAGCGUUGUUCGGAAUAACUGGGCGUAAAGCGCAUGUAGGCGGAUCUUUAAGUCAGAGGUUAAAUCCCAGGGCUCAACCCCGGCAUUGCCUUUGAUACUGGAGAUCUGGAGUCUGGGAGAGGUUAGUGGAAUUCCGAGUGUAGAGGUGAAAUUCGUAGAUAUUCGGAGGAACACCAGUGGCGAAGGCGGCUCACUGGCCGGAGACUGACGCUGAGAUGCGAAAGCGUUGGGAGCAAACAGG